rnacentral:rRNA from 1 species
UGGGGAAUCUUGGACAAUGGGCGCAAGCCUGAUCCAGCCAUGCCGCGUGAGUGAAGAAGGCCUUCGGGUUGUAAAGCUCUUUCGGCGGGGACGAAACGGUUCGUGACAACACCACGGACUAAUGACGGUACUAUUUAUAAGGUCCGGCUAACUACGUGCCAGCAGCCGCGGUAAUACGUAGGGACCAAGCGUUGUUCGGAUUUACUGGGCGUAAAGGGCGCGUAGGCGGCAUGACAAGUCACUUGUGAAAUCUCUGGGCUUAACCCAGAACGGCCAAGUGAUACUGUCGCGCUAGAGUGCAGAAGGGGCAAUCGGAAUUCUUGGUGUAGCGGUGAAAUGCGUAGAUAUCAAGAGGAACACCUGAGGUGAAGACGGGUUGCUGGGCUGACACUGACGCUGAGGCGCGAAAGCCAGGGGAGCAAAUGGGAUUAGAUACCCCCGUAGUCCCUGAGCGGGCUGGCAAGGCGCAU